rnacentral:rRNA from 1 species
CCUACGGGAGGCAGCAGUAAGGAAUAUUGGACAAUGGGCGAAAGCCUGAUCCAGCCAUGCCGCGUGAAGGAUUAAGGUCCUCUGGAUUGUAAACUUCUUUUAUUGGGGACGAAAAAAGGGAAUUCUUUCUCACUUGACGGUACCCUAUGAAUAAGCACCGGCUAACUCCGUGCCAGCAGCCGCGGUAAUACGGAGGGUGCAAGCGUUAUCCGGAUUCACUGGGUUUAAAGGGUGCGUAGGCGGGUAGGUAAGUCAGUGGUGAAAUCCUGGAGCUUAACUCCAGAACUGCCAUUGAUACUAUUUAUCUUGAAUAUUGUGGAGGUUUGCGGAAUAUGUCAUGUAGCGGUGAAAUGCUUAGAUAUGACAUAGAACACCUAUUGCGAAGGCAGCAGGCUACACAUAUAUUGACGCCGAGGCACGAAAGCGUGGGGAUCAAACAGGAUUAGAUACCCUGGUAGUCCACGCCCUAAACUAUGGAUACUCGACAUACGCGAUACACUGUGUGUGUCUGAGCGAAAGCAUUAAGUAUCCCACCUGGGAAGUACGACCGCAAGGUUGAAACUCAAAAUGAAAUUGACGG